UCCAUGCCGUAAAACGUUGGGCACUAGGUGUGGGGAACAUUCCACGUUUUCCGCUCCGUAGCUAACGCAUUAAGUGCCCCGCCUGGGGAGUACGGCCGCAAGGCUAAAACUCAAAGGAAUUGACGGGGGCCCGCACAAGCGGCGGAGCAUGCGGAUUAAUUCGAUGCAACGCGAAGAACCUUACCAAGGCUUGACAUGUUCCAGACCGCCUCAGAGAUGGGGUUUCCCUUCGGGGCUGGUUCACAGGUGGUGCAUGGUUGUCGUCAGCUCGUGUCGUGAGAUGUUGGGUUAAGUCCCGCAACGAGCGCAACCCUCGUUCCAUGUUGCCAGCACGUAAAGGUGGGGACUCAUGGGAGACUGCCGGGGUCAACUCGGAGGAAGGUGGGGAUGACGUCAAAUCAUCAUGCCCCUUAUGUCUUGGGCUUCACGCAUGCUACAAUGGCCGGUACAAUUGAGAGUGAUAUCCUGAGUCGGACCGAACCGCUAAAAGCCGUUCCCCAUUCGGAUAUUCACCUUGAUCUUCAGGUCAAGGACGGCCUGACCCUCGUCAAGCAGAAUCACACCAACCCAAUCUUCGGAGCCGGUGAUCUGGCUGAUGCCGACAUUUUGGGUAUUUUGGCGGCCUCCGCUGGUGUUGAUCCGACGCAGGUCGCAGGCUACGACGUGCUGACUGCCCCGGCCCAACGCGUAGAUAUCUACGGCGCAUAGAGUAUCCUACA
rnacentral:rRNA from 1 species